GACGAACGCUGGCGGCGUGCCUAAUACAUGCAAGUAGAACGCUGAAGAGAGGAGCUUGCUCUUCUUGGAUGAGUUGCGAACGGGUGAGUAACGCGUAGGUAACCUGCCUUGUAGCGGGGGAUAACUAUUGGAAACGAUAGCUAAUACCGCAUAACAAUGGAUGACACAUGUCAUUUAUUUGAAAGGGGCAAUUGCUCCACUACAAGAUGGACCUGCGUUGUAUUAGCUAGUAGGUGAGGUAACGGCUCACCUAGGCGACGAUACAUAGCCGACCUGAGAGGGUGAUCGGCCACACUGGGACUGAGACACGGCCCAGACUCCUACGGGAGGCAGCAGUAGGGAAUCUUCGGCAAUGGGGGCAACCCUGACCGAGCAACGCCGCGUGAGUGAAGAAGGUUUUCGGAUCGUAAAGCUCUGUUGUAAGUCAAGAACGAGUGUGAGAGUGGAAAGUUCACACUGUGACGGUAGCUUACCAGAAAGGGACGGCUAACUACGUGCCAGCAGCCGCGGUAAUACGUAGGUCCCGAGCGUUGUCCGGAUUUAUUGGGCGUAAAGCGAGCGCAGGCGGUUUGAUAAGUCUGAAGUUAAAGGCUGUGGCUCAACCAUAGUUCGCUUUGGAAACUGUCAAACUUGAGUGCAGAAGGGGAGAGUGGAAUUCCAUGUGUAGCGGUGAAAUGCGUAGAUAUAUGGAGGAACACCGGUGGCGAAAGCGGCUCUCUGGUCUGUAACUGACGCUGAGGCUCGAAAGCGUGGGGAGCGAACAGGAUUAGAUACCCUGGUAGUCCACGCCGUAAACGAUGAGUGCUAGGUGUUGGAUCCUUUCCGGGAUUCAGUGCCGCAGCUAACGCAUUAAGCACUCCGCCUGGGGAGUACGACCGCAAGGUUGAAACUCAAAGGAAUUGACGGGGGCCCGCACAAGCGGUGGAGCAUGUGGUUUAAUUCGAAGCAACGCGAAGAACCUUACCAGGUCUUGACAUCCCGAUGCUAUUUCUAGAGAUAGAAAGUUACUUCGGUACAUCGGUGACAGGUGGUGCAUGGUUGCCGUCAGCUCGUGUCGUGAGAUGUUGGGUUAAGUCCCGCAACGAGCGCAACCCCUAUUGUUAGUUGCCAUCAUUCAGUUGGGCACUCUAGCGAGACUGCCGGUAAUAAACCGGAGGAAGGUGGGGAUGACGUCAAAUCAUCAUGCCCCUUAUGACCUGGGCUACACACGUGCUACAAUGGUUGGUACAACGAGUUGCGAGUCGGUGACGGCAAGCUAAUCUCUUAAAGCCAAUCUCAGUUCGGAUUGUAGGCUGCAACUCGCCUACAUGAAGUCGGAAUCGCUAGUAAUCGCGGAUCAGCACGCCGCGGUGAAUACGUUCCCGGGCCU
rnacentral:rRNA from 1 species